GCAGAAUCGCCUCGCGGCAGCUGCAAACCCGUCGGACAAUACCACACACGUUGCCUCGGCGCGCCUGCGCGCCGGAGGCCCUUAACCAACCCUGAUACCGCGAGCCUUCUCUGACUAGUUUUAUUAGCGAUAAUA
rnacentral:misc_RNA from 1 species